UGCCAGCAGCCGCGGUAAUACGGAGGGGGUUAGCGUUGCUCGGAAUCACUGGGCGUAAAGAGAGUGUAGGCGGCCCUAUGUGUCUGACGUGAAAGCCCCGGGCUCACCCCGGGAAGUGCGUUGGAAACUGUAGGGCUAGAGUCUUGGAGAGGGAGGUGGAAUUCCAGGUGUAGCGGUGAAAUGCGUAGAUAUCUGGAAGAACACCGGUGGCGAAGGCGACCUCCUGGACGAUGACUGACGCUGAGACUCGAAAGCGUGGGGAGCAAACAGGAUUAGAUA
rnacentral:rRNA from 1 species